ACGGAAGGCAGCAGCUAUGAAUAUUCCGCAAUGGGCGAAAGCCUGACGGAGCGACACCGCGUGGAUGAAGAAGGCCGGAAGGUUGUAAAAUCCUUUUGAAACCGAGGAAUAAGCAUCGGAGGGAAUGCCGGUGUGAUGACUGUAAGUUUUGAAUAAGCAACGGCUAAUUACGUGCCAGCAGCCGCGGUAACACGUAAGUUGCGAGCGUUGUUCGGAAUUAUUGGGCGUAAAGGGCAUGUAGGCGGUCUGGCAAGCUUGGUGUGAAAGCCCGGAGCUCAACUCCGGAACAGCAUUGAGAACUACCAGGCUAGAAUCACUGAGGGGGAACCGGAAUUCCAGGUGUAGGGGUGAAAUCUGUAGAUAUCUGGAAGAACACCAAUGGCGAAGGCAGGCUGCUGGCAGAUGAUUGACGCUGAGGUACGAAAGUGCGGGGAGCAAACAGGAUUAGAUACCCUGGUA
rnacentral:rRNA from 1 species